AAAUGUACAAGCUUAAAGGAACGCUAUAGUGCCAGGAAAACAAACUUGUUUUCCUGGCACUAUAGGGUUAUUAUCCCUCGAAGUCCCCCUCCCGCUGGGCUAAAAACGUCAGCUCCCGAGUGGAGCCGAAUGCGCAUGCGCGGCCAGAGGCACCCGCAUUCAAACCGCACAUAGGAAAGCAUUGCUCAAUGCUUUCCUAUGGACGUCCAGAGUGAG